UCCGCGUCAGCCAGGAGAGGAAACGUGCUGCCGAACUUUAUUCUGCCUUGUUGAAGUUACAGCUCUUUUGAUGCAAUCAGUAAAGAUUAAAAGAAAAAAAAUCUUUUAUGCAUGCUGGGAGUCUAGCACUAUACAUAUUAAGUCACUUUGGUACAAAGGCUCAUGCCUUGUGCUGGUCCUAAGCGCGCGCCGACAGGUGCCAGUGACCGAAGAAGCUACAUGCGAAGUACCGCGCGAUCGGCGGCGCGUCCGGCGGCGCGCACAUGCACGCUCGUUUUCUCAUACCUUGAUCGUAACUGGGCUCAUUUUAACAGAGGCGUUGGCUGAUUUAAUGUCAUUAUAUAACCACUUCCAGUAAUCGGAAGGCACUUUAUAUAUUUCAGAACUUUUAUUGUAUUUGGUUUCUUAACGUUGCCAUUUAAGUGAGAUUGUGUAAACUGUAGUAUGAGGGAAAAAAAUAAUAUUUAAAAGCGGCGACAGAUAUACAAGAUACAUAAUCUUGCCAUUUUAUAAAAAGUUUUAUGUCUGUAGUUUACUUUCGACGUGGCUUAAUGCUUUGAUUUUAUGGAUUUCCAAGCCGUAUACCUACUGUAUGAUUAAUGUGUUUUAAUUGAAGGGUUGAAGCGUCAUUUAUGGGACUUUCCGGUUCUAUCAUCUGGAAAGAACAAUUAAUUCAUCCUACAUGGAUAUAGAUUCCUUGCGUGGUUGCUUAUUGUGUAUUAAGUUUAGCCUUAACGAUUUACUGCUAAGUAAGAAAUGUUAGAACAAGUUUAUAUUAGAAGUUAUAUAUGAAGACAGGCAACUCUAGGAAUUUCCACAGAUUUAUUACGAUUCCGACUGACUGUAUUUUGUAAAGUGAGGUAGACGGGAAAGAAGUAAUAUCGUCAAUUCUUUCCUUAACUAUUGAGUAAUAUAUACUUCUAAGAAUGAUUAUAGUAGAGGCGCGUAGAGACCAUGCUAAUCAAAACUAUGAAUGAACUAGGAAUAAUACUUUAAAUAUCAGCCUCACCCACUGUCAGCGGUAUUGCAUAACAAAGCAGAUGUGCAUUUCAAGAAUAAUUUCUGUAAAGUAUCCUCAUCGUUUAAAAAGUUGUUAAGAUCUUAUGGCCGGAGUGGGAGAUUUACAGAGGAAAUUUAUUACAAAAAGAGUAGUCCCCUUGGGAUGGGGGAGGGGGGGUUAGUUCCAAUGGAACCAAAACACUCCAACUAAGGAAACCUUGAUAUUUUACAAUUAUGAUUUAUGAAGCUUUUUUUUCUGAAUGGUGAAACUGAACCGUGAUAUCCACAUAACCUAAAAGGCCCUUACUUCUAAAUAUGUAAAUAUUUUUAUUCGGAAUUUUUAUUUAUUAGAAUUAAGAGAUAUAGUAGCUUCCACAAGCUGACAGUCCUGUUCACUGCCGCUGAUCCUUACAAACUGAAUGUGUCAGAACCGACUGGCAGACUUCGUUUUUUUUUUUAUCUCAGGGUAUUUCUGAGAAUUAUAAGAGUUGUAUAUUGACUGCUGUGGUAUAUGUGUGAUUGCUGUGCUCAUUGUUGGUGUCACGAUCGCCGAUAAAUAAUAUUCUGCCUAAGGGGGCAGUCCAGAGCCCAAAACACCGCUGAAGUUGUUUCCCGGAAUCUUUGGAAAGAUACGUGUUGCCUACAUCCCAGUACAAAUUGCCCAACCUCUUUCAUAGAUAAGAAAGUUUCAACUUCCAGUCAUUGCCUACACCUAAAAUCUGUGCCUUUCCCACAAACCAACACUGCUUAAUGACUGCGCGAUUUUGUUCUUUCUUAUGGUUUCGUUGAAAAUGUCGACCUUCAUCUCCAUUUUCAUGUUGUACUAGGUCUAAAAGGUUUAAAAGAAGCUUCCAGCAUGACAGCUGAAGAAAUGAUAUGUAACAUAUCGUUAUCCUCGGAAAUCACCCGACUAAGAAGUUGGGUACACAUGGAAUUCAUGUACUGUCAUUAUCUGUGUAGCAACACCAGCAGGACACUAUGGAGUAAAUUAUAAGGAAUGGUAGUUAUUAGUAUGUUCAAGGUUAAGUAUAGGGUGUCACGUAUAGCGAUAAAUAGGUGGAGGUUUGCGGACUGUGUUCGUUAAAGAGUGUUCUAACAGUAUAACUAUGCUACGUGAAGUGCUCUGUAAUCCUGCAGUUCCUUUUAUGUCCUGUGGGUGGUGCUCAGUUUCCCCUUUCUUUUCCAAUGCUGAUCUCGCUCUCAGCAGAAAUAUGGAAACAGAAGGCUCUACCCUGAAGAUCUGCACUCACUGACAAAAGCUCUGGAAGCCCUCAUCACAGAUUAAUAGAUGCACUGUUUGUUCUUGUUUUAUGAUUAUUCCAAAUACUAUAUAGGAAGGUAAGUGUUUCCUAUACUUAUAGUCUGAUAGACUACCGAUCCAUUGCUUAGUUACAUGUAGAAUAGUAACAACGAAACUGCAAUAAACUUUGCAAUAAACUGCUAACAGCAGUUUUGGUUUGAACCAUAAUAAGAUGCUUUUUAUAUCUAUAAUAAGACGCUUUUUACAUCAAAUGUAUUACAGAAAAUGUAUUGCAGGAAGGCAAGCCCUUGACCUGGGUUUGUGUGGUUUAAAAAGGAAUCAAUGUGCCGUGUUACUUUCAUAAUCUCCUGCAUAGUACCCCAUGCACAAGGCUCAGAGACCUACGAAAAUAGAAAAAGUCUCUGCCUCGCUAGUUGCUUCUCUGUGCAAGGUUGUUCCAUGGAGAAUUCCCACAUUCCACAUGCAUGCCAAGCUAUUAAUCUCAGUGCCAAGCUUGACUUUCAUUCCUCCAGUCAGUUGCAAAGGAGGAUGUUUAGCUGUUACGGGAAUGACCCAGGAAGAAGUUCCAAUCUCAGCCACAGAUCUGAGACAGCUUUGUGACGUUAAUGUCAAACUGAUUAGGCAGGUAGUCACCAGCCUCACUUUUCCCAAUGAGUGACAUCUGGCCAGCCUCAGCCUGAGCUACUGUACAUUGUAAACUCACAUUGCAUUUCUCUGCCAUGUCCCAGACCUUCGUAACAGACUGUAAUUUAAGUAAAUGUAAUUUACUUAUGGCAUAACAUUUUUUUUUUCUUUUUCAGUUAUUCAUGUCUGCUCUGCGCUUCUCAGUGACAGAGCCCCAGAGCCUCUGACCAGUAUCUCUCGAGUGAGAUGUUGAUGUCAUGUAUACGUUUCUUCAAAAUUUCCUAUAUAUUUGGUCCACAUGUGUGUGUGACAGUCUUCGGGAUGGAAGUCACACAAGAAACAAAGGCCUCGUUCCUGGACCCCAGAACCAUUUCUGAAUCCGGCUAUCACCUAAACUACUGGCAAACAGAUCAUAUGGACAGCCGUUGUGGAAAGUUUCACAGAUUCUGAUUACUUGGGAACAUAAAACAUUAGUUCGUACAAUGUAAUGUGGGGAGACCUAACAAUAUCUUCUAUAUUAUUAGUUUGGCAUGGUUUGGCAUUAAUGUUUUAUGGAAUAGAUUGCAGCCUUUCUGCAUGUGUAUGGGUCUUGUUACUUUUUUUGUAAAGGAUUUGUGUAAUAAUGCGCAGUGUUUCUUGGUGAACUGGUUGGUACAUCAGAACCAAAAUGAAUGAACAGAAAUUAUCAUGCAAAUAAAACCCUAUGUGUUAGGUGCCUGCUCCCUUUCUGCAUGAUAGUCUUGCCAACACUGCUAUUGUUUAUGCAAUUAAGUCAGAUGGUAAUUAUUUGUAUUCUCCUUUCAGAAACAGAUUCCAUUCCAUCCGUCUCUACUCCUCUCCACCCUGGAGGUGAAGCUCAAUUUGCGAGUCUUUUUCCUUUUUAAAUGUGUUAUAUUUUAUCACCUCUUUCAUUCCAGCUCACAGCGGGGAUCCGAUUUUCUCUUUGCCGCUUUCUUGUGCAGAGGCAGAUGUGUUUUGAAGGGAAAAAUAAAAAAGGAAUUGACCAUAAA